rnacentral:sRNA from 1 species
GAAACUUUUAAUGUAAAUCGGCUAAAACCAAAAGGUAGCGAUGAAUAGGCCUCAAAUUUGUGAGUUCUAAUUUUUUAAGCCCAUCAAAACAUUUGAUGGGCUUUUUUUUA